AACUAGAGUGAUGAAAAAGUAUCCUUAGGCGUGGUUAGGCCGUCUUGGUCACCUGAAUGCCACUUGCCAAUGAAAGGACUUGUCAUAGUUACACUGACUGUUA
ensembl:snoRNA Gm26330 small nucleolar RNA SNORD46